rnacentral:rRNA from 1 species
UCUACAGCCAUACUACGUUGAAAAUACCUGGUCUCGUCCGAUCCCUGAAGUUAAGCAAAGUCGGGCCGAGUCAGUACCUGGGAGGGGGACCACUUGGGAACACUCGGUCGCGUAGAA